AGCUUGAGUCGCUGUUUACAGUUGCUUGGCAACGCCCGAUCAAAUCACACAGGGAUAUCCGCUAUCAAACGCGUUACGUGCAUCACCUUACUGUCAAUGACAGAAUGGCUGCAAAGGAGAAACCGACCGUCGUUGCUCAAGAUGCGAUUCACAUCGAGAGAAUCAAGAAAGAGGAAAAACUCAUGAAGCAGCACACCAAGUUCCACAUCAACCCCUUCAGGAAAUUGCACAUCCUGCCAGACAAACCCAUGUCCAGGAAACCUCCAGAAGAAGUCUCAGAAAACUCUGAUUUUAUUAAAGAACUGCACAGAGCUUACUUAGUGCCCAAGAAGAAAUACUCAACUCCACAAACGGAGAGCCAGGAGAUCGGAUGGGAGUCCAGCCCUCUGGUGAAUAAAAACUAUUUUCUUAUCAACUAAUCAACAUUUUAGCUUCCAAAUUAGGAGUCAAACUAAAAAAAAAUAUGCACUACACAGGUGAUGCAUGUUACGGUACUGAUUUUGCACAGAUCCCACUGACCCAUCAAGACCAAAGAUUUCAUUUCCACCGCGCCACCACAGACAUCACCAGACAUGCGGAAUAUGCCAGAAAAAUGGCUAAAUAAACCACAGGAACCCAGAGCGGGUCAGAUGUGUUCGUCUGCCUCUUCCACUCUCAUUUGUGGGGAUCAGUUGAUGUCCAGAAACCCCCUCAGCCGUUUCAUUCUGAUGCUAACGAUGAGGAAAGGGCGAAAAUGACAGCGGGUCAAUAGCAACCCGUGAUGUCACACAGGAGCUGAGUGAGGAGAGAGUUUGCAGCAUCACAGCUGGACUUUUAUUCAGAUACAGAUGAGCUUUGAUGAGGACUGAACAUGCCGCGGCUCCGCCCGUCACUGAUAAUAAAAACAAACGUAGAAAAUA